rnacentral:sRNA from 1 species
GCACGAUGGGUCCCGCUUACACUUGAAUC